rnacentral:rRNA from 1 species
GACGGGACCCGCACAAGCGGUGGAUGAUGUGGUUUAAUUCGAUGCAACGACGAAAACCUUACCCACCUUUGACAUGGCAGGAAUCCCGAAGAGAUUUGGGAGUGCUCGAAAGAGAACCUGCACACAGGUGCUGCAUGGCUGUCGUCAGCUCGUGUCGUGAGAUGUUGGGUUAAGUCCCGCAACGAGCGCAACCCUUGCCAUUAGUUGCUACGAAAGGGCACUCUAAUGGGACUGCCGGUGACAAACCGGAGGAAGGUGGGGGAUGACGUCAAGUCCUCAUGGCCCUUAUAGGUGGGGCUACACACGUCAUACAAUGGCCGGUACAGAGGGUAGCCAACCCGCGAGGGGGAGCCAAUCCCACAAAGCCGGUCGUAGUCCGGAUCGCAGUCUGCAACUCGACUGCGUGAAGUCGGAAUCGCUAGUAAUCGCGGAUCAGCAUGUCGCGGUGAAUACGUUCCCGGGUCUU